CGGCUGCCGUCCGCGCGCGAGGGAGGCCGGGCGAGCGCGGGAGGCCGGGGCGCCCCUUCCGCUCCCGAGGAGAUGAGCAGGUGGGGAGGCGGGAAAGAGGGCCCAGGGAGCCGCGGCUUCGCUGCGCCGAGGGCUGGGAGCGCCCGAGGCCGGGGUGCUGCACCCCAGCACCCAGGGAAGCCACCGAACAAAGUCACGGCUCUCCUUGUGCUUGUAACCGUCAGGCCUCUGGGACCCUGCACGGGGGCUGCCCGCACCGCACCGCCUGUCAUUCAGAAGGCCCUGGACUGACCUCCCGUCCACCCCGGGAUUGCCCCUGGCGCGCUUGGUUGGGCGGAGGAGAAUCAUGCCUCAAACUGCACCUUCUUCUGUGAGGCAUCUCCCUGUUCUUUGCUAUCCCUUCCUUUCCUCCCGGUACUCUUGCCUUCUAGCAUGGAAAUCUAUUGGCUGUUUUCAUGGCUUUAUAACCUUUCUUAAGCUGGGAAUACCCGACCCACCUCAGGAAGCUGUCGUUCCAAGUGUGUCUAAAACCUGCCGUCCUCUCCCUGGCCCGGUAAUCAUCAUGCUGUGCCGUGUACCUACUCAGACUCAGCCGCCGCCCUGCGAGUGUGUGACUUGUCGUCAUUAGUACUCCACUCAGGUGUAGUGGGUGCCUACUACAUCCUCGGUAGGGUGCUUGGUUCUACCAGGGAGACAAAGGAGUCAGACAGUUGUCCUUUAUUGUGUGUGGGCGGGGAAAUAUUCAUUUGGGCCCUUUCUCCUUUCGAAGGUACGGUUGACCAGAAGUCCUUUUGCUCUUGUUCACUUCAUGCUAUUGUCUACAACACCUGUUUCUGGGCAUCAACCACUACUACUGUUGGGGGGGACCCCUAAAUUUGUAACCCGCCUUGUAGACAUGGUCAGUUGAUCAAGUAACUCAUCCUCCCUGAGCCUCAGAAUCUUUGUGUUAAUGGGGCGUAAUCAGACACAAAUGUCACAGUAGGAUGUUUGUUGGAAUCAAAGUCACCAGUAGAUAAUGGCCACGAAAGCCGUUUGUGAGACAUACAUCAUGGAAGAAAAUGUAGUGUAUUUGCUGAUAACUUAUAAACCCUUCCAGGACCUUAGACAAGUGCCUGUCUACAUGGUUUGUCCACAGCUGCCUUUUUUGGGGGGUACUGGGGAUCGGACUCCGGACCUUGUGCUUUUGAGGCAGGCAGCAGAACCACUGAGCUAAAUCCCCAGUCCCAUAGCUACCUUUUAAAAAAAGUAUCUGAAGCCAACUUCAGCAUCUUCCCCAUUCCACAAGUUGCUUCAUUUCUUGUGCAGUGGACCUGGAUACAAAUUGUUCUGCCUGGAAAGGUUUAUGAAUCACAAGACAACCAACAUCAACAAGUUCUACUUUUGCACGUUGAGUACCAAACAAAUGACAAUUUCAUUGGAAUGAAAUUUUCCUAUCAAAAUUCGUUGAGUACUAAAUUCACCAGUUUUAAAACAGUUGAGUAGCAUGGUAUGACUGUAUUAUAUUGGAAAUGGCACUUGUAUCUUUCAGUUAACCUAGUUAGAAGUUAGUUUAUUUAACACAUUUCAUUGACCCAGGCUUGAAAGCUUAGCAUUGAUUAUUGCUUCUCAUCUAGAUCCUACCCUUGAAAACAUGCUCAAAUAUUAUCUUUUCACUGAUGCUUCCUAAUCUCCCUACUUGAAAUAAAUCUUUGCACCUCAGUGCUUCCAUAGCAUUUUAUUUAUUUCAUAAUAGCAUAUUAUACUUAAUUGUAUUUUAAUAAAGCAAGACAGUGGGCUUGCUGCAAAUGCUGAAUUCAGUGAUGAUAAAGUGCUGACAGCCUACAGAGAGGAAAUGGAUACCUGUGAGCACUAUCGGGUAAGGUUUCACAUAGGAGAGAGGCCAAUGUCAUCCUUGUGAGGGGCCGACCAGGCCAUGGGCAGGGAGAUGAAGUUCCAGGUGGCGAGGAGACUCACAGCUUUUAGGGGACAGAGUUGGGGUGAUUUGACUUGCCUUGAAUAACACGUAACACAAUGCUAUUCACAACACUGAAUGAUUUUCCCGGUAACUUUUUGAAUUAUCUUUGUGUUCCCUGGAGGAUGUGUGUAGUAUGAGUUGUAGAAUCACAAGAAAUCCAAUUCUCAAAUUGUAUACAUUAGCUAUGAAGAAACGUUUCUUGUUGGGAGACAAGAAACUCUUUGUUAAAUUUUUCCCUUCAGUGCUGGGAAUGGAACCAAAGGCCUGGUAUAUACUAGGCCAGUGCUCUAUCACUGAGGCACACUCCCAACCCAAGAAACUCUUCAAAGGGUGACCUGCUUCUAGAGCCUCCUCACGAAGCUAAUUUUCUCCCUUUCUCGUUGUUUCUAGGGCAGAGUUUUAAUGAAACAGGAAAUUUUCAUCUCUCACAACAAAUUUACAGAUAGCUAUCACAUCCAGGAAAUGUUUGUAUGCCAAGGCCAUUACAGCUACAAGAAAUGCUGCAGUAGCAAAGUUCAGUAAGAAGAAAGAAGGAAACAUCGAGAAGAUUGAAAGGCUCCCAGUAUUUAGUUGUCCAUGUUCCUGUUCCUAUUGUUUUGUUUUGGUUUUCUCUUACUGUAAUAAGCAACUUUAUUUACUAAUAUAAGUCACCAUGAAUCCCCAGCCCCAAAAGAAUGGCUCUAGUGUUUUUUAAAAUUAUAUUACCCUUUUCGUAAAAAAUGCUUCUUCAAUUGAACAAUUCCAAUUAGGAUUCUUCAUUGAGGAAUCAGUAACUGCCUUGAUUUAGUAUUAUUUGGAAGCUUUUGUGUUUUUUUAAAUUGCUUUAUGUAGAAAUUAGAGCAAGAUGUGGGAUGAUUCCACUCAGUUUCUGUGAAGUCUUGCCAUUCAAAAUUAUUAUUACGCAAGACCAUUAUAAAAGUACAUACACUGUCAAGCUUACCCAGAAGGCAAUAAGUGGCAUCCAAAUGCAAGAAGUAGGCUCCAAAAUUUCAGUUUCGACAUGUGAAUUUUUCUGGGGGAGGAGAUCAUGAUGCAAUGCAGCAUAGCUCACUAUCUGGGAGUUUCAGGGUCUGAACAUGCAAUCUAAAUUCCUCCUGGGUUUGGAUCCAACUGGGGUUUCCCACACUCUAGUUUAAAUUUUGACAGUGCUUCUUCUGCCUUCGGUAGCUGGCUGGGACUUCCUGUGUGGAGGCAGUGGUUCCAGGAAUCUACUAGUUAGUUGGUACCUUUUUUGGUUGGUCUGAUGUGGGGAUUGAACUGAGAGAAGAUGAUUGAACAAGGGAUGACCCAGGAGCUAACCAUUUUCCAGACUGUCUCCUCUUCAAGAACAGCUGGAGAACUUACGCUGCCUUCCUUGGAAGACAGGAAGCUGAGUGGGGAAGAGGAGUCAAGCUCCAGGGCAUUAUAUGUUUAUCACAUACACUGUAAAGUGGAAACAUACGUUGCCAGCAUUAUAUGAAUUAUAGUAGAUCCAUAUGGCAGAAUAGUAUAUAUCAACAAAAUUGCUGUUUUUCAGCUGAGGUUGUAGCUCAGUGGUAAAGUGCAUGCUUAGCAUGAGAGGCCAUAGGUUCAAUCUCCAGCACCAAAAUUAAAUAAAAUAAAAUUUCAUAGAAAGUGUACUGACAUAAACAUUAAGCAUUAUUAAUUAUUAAUAGCCAUUGAUAUUAUUAUAAGUGAAAAUAGGACAUAUUUAAAUGUUAUAUGGUUUGGAUGUAUGUACAUACAAAAUAAUAAAAAAUAUGUCAGUGGGGACAGUGCUAUAUGGGUGUGCUAUUUGGUGUAUAGAUGAUUUAAAAAAUAUAUUUCUACAUAUUUUUUAUCCAUGUAGGAUUGAACUCAGGGUCCUAGAACUGAGCUAUAGCCCCAGCCCUUUUGUAUUUUUUAUUUUGAGACAGGAUUUCUCUAAGUCAGUUGCUCAGGCGGAGCUGAAAAUUGGGAUCUUCCACCCUCCCCUCUAAGAGUGCUGGAAUUAUAGGCAUCUACCACCACACCUCAUUUCUAGUGACCUUAUCUCUACAUUUUCCAACUUUUAUAUGAUGAAUAUGUGUUUCUUUUAUACUGAUAAUUUUUAAAAAUUCAACUAUCUUCCCUGGUUAGAUAAAUAAUCAAGUAAUGACAUACAGUAUACUAACCCAGUUUCUAUAAUACAACGGUCUUUUCAGUUACUCCUCACUAUUUGUCUGAGUUAGUGUAGGAUGUAGGCAGUGAUGAACUAAGCUGAUAGUGGAACAGUUCAUUUUUCUAUAAGUAGGAAGGAAGGAAAGCUCUUCUGAGUUCUCAAGAGUCAUUACGCAAAAAAAAAUUUCAAAAUGUUUUUACAUUUUUACUCCAAAAAAUUGGCUCCAAAAGAGAACUGUGAAAUCAAUACCAAUCGUAAACAUUUGAUUAAAUGUCUGCAAAACAUACCUUGAGUUUCUUAAUUAGAAUAAAAACUGUGAUUACA
rnacentral:lncRNA from 1 species